AUUGAACGCUGGCGGCAUGCCUUACACAUGCAAGUCGAACGGCAGCACGGGUGCUUGCACCUGGUGGCGAGUGGUGAACGGGUGAGUAAUACAUCGGAACAUGUCCUGUAGUGGGGGAUAGCCCGGCGAAAGCCGGAUUAAUACCGCAUACGAUCCACGGAUGAAAGCGGGGGACCUUCGGGCCUCGCGCUAUAGGGUUGGCCGAUGGCUGAUUAGCUAGUUGGUGGGGUAAAGGCCUACCAAGGCGACGAUCAGUAGCUGGUCUGAGAGGACGACCAGCCACACUGGGACUGAGACACGGCCCAGACUCCUACGGGAGGCAGCAGUGGGGAAUUUUGGACAAUGGGCGAAAGCCUGAUCCAGCAAUGCCGCGUGUGUGAAGAAGGCCUUCGGGUUGUAAAGCACUUUUGUCCGGAAAGAAAUCCUUGACUCUAAUACAGUCGGGGGAUGACGGUACCGGAAGAAUAAGCACCGGCUAACUACGUG
rnacentral:rRNA from 1 species